rnacentral:rRNA from 1 species
GACCAACGCUGGCGGCGUGCUUAACACAUGCGAGUCGAACGGAAAGGCCUCUUUCGGGGGGUACUCGAGUGGCGAACGGGUGAGUAACACGUGAGUAACCUGCCCUUGACUUUGGGAUAACUUCAGGAAACUGGGGCUAAUACCGGAUAGGAGCUCCUGCUGCAUGGUGGGGGUUGGAAAGUUUCGGCGGUUGGGGAUGGACUCGCGGCUUAUCAGCUUGUUGGUGGGGUAGUGGCUUACCAAGGCUUUGACGGGUAGCCGGCCUGAGAGGGUGACCGGCCACAUUGGGACUGAGAUACGGCCCAGACUCCUACGGGAGGCAGCAGUGGGGAAUAUUGCACAAUGGGUGGAAGCCUGAUGCAGCAACGCCGUGUGCGGGAUGACGGCCUUCGGGUUGUAAACCGCUUUCGCUCAUGACGAAGCUUUGUGUGACGGUAGUGGGUAAAGAAGCACCGGCUAACUACGU